rnacentral:rRNA from 1 species
GAGUUUGAUCUUGGCUCAGGAUGAACGCUGGCGAUGUGCCUAACACAUGCAAGUCGAGCGGCCCUUCGGGGCAGCGGCGAACGGGUGAGUAACGCGUCGGAACGUACCCCAGAGUGGAACAUAGCUCGUCGAAAGACGGGGUAAUUUUCCAUAAUCCCUUACGGGCAAAGCAGCAAUGCGCUUUGGGAGCGGCCGGCGUCCUAUCAGCUUGUUGGCGGGGUAAAAGCCCACCAAGGCAAUGACGGGUAGCUGGUCUGAGAGGAUGACCAGCCACAAUGGGACUGAGACACGGCCCAUACUCCUACGGGAGGCAGCAGUUGGGAAUUUUGCGCAAUGGACGAAAGUCUGACGCAGCGACAUCGCGUGGUGGAUGAAGGCCUCGGUGUAACACCUUUAUCGUUGAGAUAUGACUGUAACGAAGAAUAAGGAACCGG